rnacentral:misc_RNA from 1 species
AAAGUCGUAACAAGGUUUCCGUAGGUGAACCUGCGGAAGGAUCAUUACCGAACAACCUGCACCUCACCGCUGUGAGUGGGUGCUCAUUGGUGCCUCCUGAUCUUGAUCUUGGUGCUCUUCACUCCGCACCACAAGUGGUGGACCUUGCGUGAGUUUGGGGGGUGCCCUGUUCAAGAUGUCCUAUGCUAACACACAAACAUGUCAUUGUACGAUGUUGAACUUGAACAUAUAAUAUAACUUUCAACAACGGAUCUCUUGGCUCUC